GUGCUUGCUUUGGCAGCACAUAUAUAAAAAUUGGAAGAAUGCAGAGAUUAGCAUGGCCCCUCAACAAGGAUGACAUAAAAAUCCAUGAAGCGUUCCAUUAAUUA
ensembl:snRNA U6 U6 spliceosomal RNA